rnacentral:rRNA from 1 species
UCCAGACUCCUACGGGAGGCAGCAGUGGGGGAUAUUGCACAAUGGGGGGAACCCUGAUGCAGCGACGCCGCGUGGGUGAAGGAGCGUUUCGGCGCGUAAAGCCCUAUCGGCAGGGAAGAAGGAGGACGGUACCUGACUAAGAAGCCCCGGCUAACUACGUGCCAGCAGCCGCGGUAAUACGUAGGGGGCAAGCGUUAUCCGGAUUUACUGGGCGUAAAGGGGGCGCAGAAGGCGAUGCAAGCCAGGAGUGAAAGCCCGGGGCCCAACCCCGGGACUGCUCUUGGAACUGCGUGGCUGGAGUGCAGGAGGGGCAGGCGGAAUUCCUGGUGUAGCGGUGAAAUGCGUAGAUAUCAGGAGGAACACCGGUGGCGAAGGCGGCCUGCUGGACUGCAACUGACGUUGAGGCCCGAAAGCGUGGGGAGCAAACAGGAUUAGAUACCCCGGUC